GUGCAGUGUGUGGGUAUGUCAGGUGAGUGUAGACUGUAGAGGCUGUUUACUGGAGGAGAUGUCAUCAAUCUAUCAACCA